rnacentral:rRNA from 1 species
UACGUAGGUGGCAAGCGUGUCCGGAUUUAUUGGGUUAAAGGGUGCGUAGGCGGCCCACUAAGUCAGUGCUGAAAUAUCCCGGCUUAACCGGGAGGGUGGCAUUGAUACUGGUGGCUUGAGUACAGAUGAAGUAGGCGGAAUUGACGGUGUAGCGGUGAAAAUGCAUAGAUAUCGUCAAGAACACCGAUAGCGGAAAGGCAGCUUCUAAGCUAUA